AUUGAACGCUGGCGGCAGGCCUAACACAUGCAAGUCGAGCGAGCGGCGGACGGGUGAGUAAUGUCUGGGAAACUGCCUGAUGGAGGGGGAUAACUACUGGAAACUGUAGCUAAUACCGCGUACCAUAGGAUGAGCCCAAGUGGGAUUAGGUAGUUGGUGAGGUAAAGGCUCACCAAGCCGACGAUCUCUAGCUGGUCUGAGAGGAUGACCAGCCACACUGGGACUGAGACACGGCCCAGACUCCUACGGGAGGCAGCAGUGGGGAAUAUUGCGCAAUGGGGGCAACCUGACGCAGCCAUGCCGCGUGAAUGAAGAAGGCCUUCGGGUUGUAAAGUUCUUUCGGUGACGAGGCGUUAAUCACAGAAGAAGCACCGGCUAACUCCGUGCCAGCCGCCGCGGUAAUUC
rnacentral:rRNA from 1 species